rnacentral:misc_RNA from 1 species
GAUGAAGAACGUAGCGAAAUGCGAUAAGUAAUGUGAAUUGCAGAAUUCAGUGAAUCAUCGAAUCUUUGAACGCACAUUGCGCCCGCCAGUAUUCUGGCGGGCAUGCCUGUUCGAGCGUCAUUUCAACCAUCAAGCCCCCGGCUUGUGUUGGGGACCUGCGGCUGCCGCAGGCCCUGAAAAGCAGUGGCGGGCUCGCUGUCACACCGAGCGUAGUAGCAUACAUCUCGCUCUGGGGGUGCUGCGGGUUCCGGCCGUUAAACCACCUUCAUAACCCAAGGUUGACCUCGGAUCAGGUAGGAAGACCCGCUGAACUUAAGCAUAUCAAUAAGCGGAGGA